rnacentral:lncRNA from 1 species
UGAUUCCUUGGGAACAAUGAACUAAUGAACUGGUUUUUAAAAUGCUAAGGAAAUCUCACGCUGGAUAUCGCAGAUCAGUCCACAUCCUUCACAGACAACCUUGCGGCCCACUGCACUCUGACCCUGGAUUAGCCAUAGGGACUGUGGCUGAAGUGGUCCAUAUCGUAACAGCAACAGCAACGCAAGCAUGGAGUCACGACGCACUGAGCCACAGCAUCUGUUACUUGGAAAAGUAAGCUAAUGUCAACACACCCAGAUCAUCGCCACCUGUUUUAGUCCACUUUGUGCUGCUGUAACAGGGAUACCCCAGAAGACACAUUUGUGUUCUUACAGGUCUGAAGACCAAGACCAAGGAACUGAGCAGUUGAGUCAAUGCUGAGCGAAGCUCCCUGCUUAAGACCUCAGGUUUUUGCUGCCACCCCCAAAAGGGCAGAAUGCUGCAUCCUCACAGGACGGAAGGUGGGAGGGCAAGAGGUCUGCAAGCU